AGUCGAGGGGCAGCAUAAUGGAUAGCAAUAUCUAUGGUGGCGACCGGCGCACGGGUGCGUAACGCGUAUGCAACCUACCUUUAACAGGGGGAUAACACUGAGAAAUUGGUACUAAUACCCCAUAAUAUCAUAGAAGGCAUCUUUUAUGGUUGAAAAUUCCGAUGGUUAGAGAUGGGCAUGCGUUGUAUUAGCUAGUUGGUGGGGUAACGGCUCACCAAGGCGACGAUACAUAGGGGGACUGAGAGGUUAACCCCCCACACUGGUACUGAGACACGGACCAGACUCCUACGGGAGGCAGCAGUGGGGAAUAUUGGUCAAUGGACGCAAGUCUGAACCAGCCAUGCCGCGUGCAGGAUGACGGCUCUAUGAGUUGUAAACUGCUUUUGUACGAGGGUAAACGCAGAUACGUGUAUCUGUCUGAAAGUAUCGUACGAAUAAGGAUCGGCUAACUCCGUGCCAGCAGCCGCGGUAAUACGGAGGAUUCAAGCGUUAUCCGGAUUUAUUGGGUUUAAAGGGUGCGUAGGCGGUUUGAUAAGUUAGAGGUGAAAUUUCGGGGCUCAACCCUGAACGUGCCUCUAAUACUGUUGAGCUAGAGAGUAGUUGCGGUAGGCGGAAUGUAUGGUGUAGCGGUGAAAUGCUUAGAGAUCAUACAGAACACCGAUUGCGAAGGCAGCUUACCAA
rnacentral:rRNA from 1 species